rnacentral:rRNA from 1 species
UACGUAGGGUGCAAGCGUUGUCCGGAAUGAUUGGGCGUAAAGAGCUCGUAGGCGGUCUGUCGCGUCUGCUGUGAAAACUCGGGGCUUAACCCCGGGCCUGCAGUGGGUACGGGCAGACUAGAGUGCGGUAGGGGAGACUGGAAUUCCUGGUGUAGCGGUGAAAUGCGCAGAUAUCAGGAGGAACACCGGUGGCGAAGGCGGGUCUCUGGGCCGUAACUGACGCUGAGGAGCGAAAGCAUGGGGAGCGAACAGG